GCCUGGGUGGCGGAACUGGUAGACGCAAGGGACUUAAAAUCCCUCGGCCUUAGGGCUGUACGAGUUCAAUUCUCGUCCCAGGUACCA
rnacentral:tRNA from 1 species